UGGGAAGAACCAUUCCACCCUGCGGCAGGAGCCGGCCACCGCGCCGCCAUCCGCGCCUCCCCCAGUCCCCAUGGUUACGGCUCCUGCUUCCCAGCCGGUCCCUGGUCCCUGCCCGCCGCCAGGAAGACAGGCAGGCACAGGCGGCUGGCGCCCCCCACCUGAGCCCUGGAAGCCGCCCGCUGAGACGCGGUGAACGCCUGCUCUUCCUGGCUCUGACUCACCCUCUCUCCCGGUGCAGAGCGCCGUCACCGCUGUGCCUGGCCACAGCUCCGGGCGGACUGCAGCCCUGCAAUCUGUUGAUAACUGCACUUGCGAGCUCCAGGCCACUGGUGAUGGAAAUCUGUUCCCCGGUGCUGAGAACCCGCCAGUCCGCACCUGCACAGGGGAGCAGGAGACCAGCACCCCUCCAGCUGUCUCUGCCAAAAUAGGUGAGAAGUUAGUGCUGCUCCUGGGGUCUGAGUGGUGGGUGGGGGCCUCCUGCAGGGAGGCAGGGGACACGCGGCAAAGGCAAUGGAUGAGCUGCUGGCAGCAGGGUCCACUCAUCAGGACCAUUUCUUGGGCAAACAUGCCAACUGGGGGAGAAGUGACUCCCGCCACUGGAGAAGCAGGUUCUGGAUAACUUUGGGUGAGCGGAGGCAUGGAGCCCGAUGAAGCCCCCAGCCUCUUUGCAGAGAGAGUGGCUGUGGGAGGGCGCCAGCCCUGUCCAGCCACACCAGGCAGCCCAAGCUUCCGCCUGCUGGGUCUGGCUGUGUGCCGGGAGAUUCAUUCAGGUUUAUUUGAUUCUCUUGAUUUAAACUGACAGACAUGUUUAUUUGGCUUUGUGCAGCCUGAAACGAUUGAGUUUGGUUCUUGUAUUGGAUGGUGAGCAAAGAUUGAUUUUUAAAUAAGGACGGGAAUGCUGCCCAGGAGGGCAAUAGCGGGCUGAAGGCACUUCCCUUCUUCCCCUUGAGGUCUCCAAGGCUCAUGAACCACGUUGUCACCCAGAUCCCUUCAUGCCCCAGACAGAGCCUGAGCCAGCAACUCCAACAGGCUGGCUGUUGAGAGGAGUCCAGAGGGGGCAAACUUCCAGAAGAGCCACUGCUCCCUGCCAGAGCCUGGGCACCAACCAGGGGUCUGCCAGCCGCAGACCAGGGAGGACCCUCCUCUAGGGCCACUGACCAUAUGCUGUCUUCACAGAUGGGUGCAGCCUGCAGACCCCCGCCCACCCUGUCACAGCCACCUUGGCACCCUGAGGCGUACUUCUCUGGAAGCUCCACCCGUGGCUGUGGGAUUUUGACCUUCUGGACAGCCAUGGAGGCUGGCAGGGAGAAGGGCGCGACAUAACCUUCUCCGCCACAUCUCGGCCCCCUCCGGUGCUCCUGCCUGGGUAACUCUGCAGGGCUCAUGGUGAGUACUGGACCCCCCAGGCCAUGG
rnacentral:lncRNA from 1 species